rnacentral:rRNA from 1 species
UACGUAGGGUGCAAGCGUUGUCCGGAUUCAUUGGGCGUAAAGAGCACGCAGGCGGUUUGGCAAGUCGGAUGUGAAAACCCGGAGCUCAACUCCGGACCUGCAUCCGAAACUGCCCGACUAGAGGUAGGUAGGGGAGAUCGGAAUUCCUGGUGUAGCGGUGAAAUGCGCAGAUAUCAGGAGGAACACCGGUGGCGAAGGCGGAUCUCUGGGCCUUACCUGACGCUCAGGUGCGAAAGCUAGGGGAGCGAACAGG